rnacentral:rRNA from 1 species
GACGAACGCUGGCGGCGUGCUUAACACAUGCAAGUCGAGCGGUAAGGCCCUUUCGGGGGUACACGGGCGGCGAACGGGUGAGUAACACGUGGGUGACCUGCCCUCCAGCUCUGGGAUAAGCCUGGGAAACCGGGUACUAAUACUGGAUAUGACUCCAUGACGCAUGUUGUGGGGUGGAAAGCCUUGUGCGGCUGAGGAUGGGCCCGCGGCCUAUCAGCUUGUUGGUGGGGUGAUGGCCUACCAAGGCGACGACGGGUAGCCGGCCUGAGAGGG